UCAGCUAUUUUUGUGCUGGUGGUCCUUGGUCAGCCCACAGAGAAGGAGUGUAUCCUUCUGUCCCAUCUCCUGCACUUCCAAACCACUGCUGUCCAAUCCAGGGAAUGGUUCUGGCUUGCACUUGACCUUGCAUUUGUGUGGCCAAUUGUCUUCGACUCCACCAUUUUACUCUGGCUGCCUCUUUGGUAUCUCUCAGGUUUGACAGUAUCACCCAAAGUCGUAGUGCUUUUAUUUCUCAAUCCUUCAACAGGUUCUUCAGAUGUCAGAUUGAUCCUAAUGAGCAGAUGACGGCUGUGAAGGACCACAUCAGGCACCUAAGUGCUGCCCCACUGAUCCCAAGGUGAGGAGUGUCAAUAAUGAGAAAGAGGAGACAGGAACCUUGGGAUGGACAUGACACUGCUCAGCAAAGCUCUGGUGAAACUUAAACUCUCCUUAGGUUCUGGGCUGUACUGGGGGCUCUUUUAGGGUGAUGCCAUUCCCAGAGCAGAGGGAAAUGAGCUGUCUCUCAGGACUGUCAUCCUGCUGACAGGCCCCACGGCGUGCAGUGCGUUGGAACAGCAUGGGAGCACAUUUGUUUCCAUCGGGAACUGCGCCGGAUCAGCGCUCGGCAUCCUGUUUAUGUUAAAAC